rnacentral:tRNA from 1 species
GCCAUCUUAGCUCAGUUGGUAGAGCAGCUCACUCGUAAUGAGCAGGUCACCGGUUCAAGUCCGGUAGAUGGCU